CGGAUAUCAGCGUUGCGGCUGGAGGCAGGGCUGGUCCUCAGCCUGCUGUCCACUGCCACCUUGGCCUGCUCUUGCGCCUCGAACUCUGUGCCGUCGUUCCCUUUCACCAUAUUUUGGGACGGCCGGCGCUAAGAAUUUAUGCUAUGACCUUCGAUUCAGCCAGGAGGUGACACCAAACUUGAUCAGAAACCAUGCCACAGGUGAAGAGGUAUAUUGAGCCCUGCCUGGCCAGUGAGGUUACUAGAGAAUUGGAAGAGGCUCAAGUCAGCAUCCUGCACAUGGUUAUCAAACCAUUGUGAAGUCUUAGUAAGUGUCACCUGGGAUACUUGUUAAAAAUGCAGAUUCUUGGGCAGCUAGAAACCUUGUCACUGGUCAAGAGCAACAAGUAACAAGACCUACUUGUCACUUAUCCUGAGGCAUCGUGCCCAGUGGGUUUACCAGCAAACCAGAAUGAAGCAUCGUUGCCCUGGAUGUCCUUGUGAGAUGGUUGGGAAGUCUUGGCUGAACUGUGGAGAAUAUCUUUGAAAAGUGUUUUAGAGAGUCUACCAGAUUUUCCAUGUGAGUGCCUGUGCAGCAGAAGAGUGGGUCUUCUCAGUGGUUAAGGUAACAAAGUGAUUAAGGGCCCUUAAGCCUGGUUUGUUUCCAUGGAAAAGAGCAUGACAAAAGACUGAGUGUCGACAUGUCCCUGGCAGCAGGCAUGAACUGUUGCCUCUGCUACUUCUCUGCUAGAUCAUCAUUUGGCCCAGCUGUAUUAUGGGAUCAUCUUCUGACUUCAUGGUGUCAUUGAAAGGCUUACGUGUGCUAGUGGAUGAAAAUAUUUCAAUGCUUCUCUCUGCCGUCUUUUUGCUGCCAUACACUGUGCUGGGUGAUGGGGAUAUGGAGAUGAAUUAAACAUGAUUCCUGCCCUCAAGGAGUUCUCAGCCUAGUGAGAGUUUGACAUGUACACAGAGAAUUACAACAGUAUGGUAUGCUCUACAAUGGAGGGUGUUCAUGAGGAUAUUGUAAAGUGUGUGUUAUAAGCACGCUAUAAAUUACAGCUAUCAUUGUUAGUUCUUGGGACAUUCACCGCAUGACAGAAACAACAGCAGGCCCUGGUGGCUGGGAGGACUUCAUGGAUCCAACAGCAACCUGAAGAAAUCCUACUCGGAUGGAUAUAAUACAACCUGCUAAGUGUCCUAGCACUUAUCAGGUUGUAUUAUCAUUGUCCGUGUCUAUGGCUCUCGUCUACCAGACUCUAAAUUCCUUACAGGCAAGGACAGUGCCUUAUUCAUCUUUGUAUUCGCAGUGCCUAAUCCGGUGCACAUUGUAGGCCUCAUUAAAUGUUUGUUGAAUGAAAAAAUGAAUCAUCAACAGACAUUAAUUGGGCGCCUGCUCUGUGAUCUCCAUGGGCUCAUCUUGUCCCCGCCAGUUGCCUACAACGUCCAAGCUGUCUUCAGUAUGCUUUCUUCUGAAGCUCACUCCUGUCUUCUAAUUCUUUUGCCAAGGACUUUUCUGUGUAGUGCAAAGACAGCAAAUAUACUUCAUCUCAAGAACCAUCUCCAGUUGAUUGAUAGUACCUGUCUUUAUUAUGUUCUAUAAAAACAGUUCUGAAGCCAGGUGUCAACUCAGUAUGAAAGAGGAUUAUAACUAAUUAGUGAUGUUUGCUGGGGGUGGGGGAAGGGGAUUAGCAGCAUACGUGCCAUAUAUAUGUCAUAUUUAAUAUUGUGUUUUCCAUGAAAUACUCUGUUUCCAUGCCUGUAUUUUAGUCUUGGCUACUUGCAGAUGUUGCAUUGCUGCCGCUGCCACCACUGCUGUUACUACACUACACUUGCUACGAGUUGUUCCUUGGGUAGGACCAGAGUGAUCAUUGAUCAGAAACUCAUCCUCACAGUCUGGGGUUUGCUCCUGUUGCUGGUAUUCACAGUUUUCCCCUUUCAACUUUACCUCAGCUAACCCCUUACCUACAUUAACAGGUAGGCCUUUAGUUUAUGUUCACCACUCAACAGGCUCAUAUUUCCUUUUUCUUAUUUACUGUGAUUAAUCAUUAUUGCUUCAUGAGAAGCCUUCUAUUAGAAGAUGUGACAACUAGAAUACACGUUAAACCAUUCCAUUAAGGCCCUACAGUGAAUCAUAUAAGCUCCCUUUUAAUAUAGGAGAAAAUUGAGCAUACUCACACACUAAAAGGCAAGGGAGAAGGGAGAUAUUGUACAUAUGGGAGAGAGAUGAUGACGUAUGGCUCUUAGAACAUAGGCAGAGGGCUAGCCUUAGAUCAAAGGAGUUACCUCUUUACUGGGGCAUAGUGAUAAGAAUAGGAAUUAGAAACAGUACUGAUAAGGGUGUUGGAGAUUUGUAAUUGUAGAGGUGGGUGAGAGGAAGCUGACCAGGGACAGGAUUACAGAAACAAGAGUCUUAAGAAAUAUCCAGGCCAUAUCAAAGUGAGCAACUAGUUUGAAACUUGAUUAGAGACUCAGGAAAAGAAAAGGUAAUCUUGGGCCAUUGUCACAAGUAGCAUUCGGUCGCCUAGAAUUGAUUUUGCUUGAUUGAGGGAUGGGGCUUUAGGGGCUUCUCAGGUGGCUCAGUGGUAAAGAAUCCGCCUGCCAGUGCAGGAGCCACAGGAGAUGCAGGUUCUAUCCCUGGGUCGAGAAGAUCCCCUGGAGGAGGGCAUGGCAACCCAUUCCAGUAUUCUUGCCUGGAAAAUUCCAUAGACAGAGUAGUCUGGUGGGCUACAGUCCAGAGGGUCACAAAGAGUCAGACAUGACUGAAUGAGCAUGAUUGAGGGAUGGACAGCUAGCAAGAGAAGAGUUACACACCAAUGGAUUUGAGGAUCCAGACUGUAUAUGGAAGGAAGGUCAGAGUCUACAUAGAAAAAGUGGCCUUAGUAUGAUCAAGAUGGGUGCUGAGUCUUUGGAAAAUGGUAUGAUAGGAUCUAUAUCAGAGACUGAACUUUGGAAUGGUAAAAUUUAAAAACUGGAGUGAUCAAGAUACCCGUGAUGCUAGGAUGUCAGAUGGUUGUUUACUUGGGUAUUGAAAUGACCCAGGAUUAUAGCAAAAGCCAGGUUAGGAAUGAACACUGAGGGCUAGAUAAAAUAGGUUUCAGUGACUGAAGAAUGAUCUAGGGGUUGGCACAUGACAACUGUGCAGGUGCAAGAGAAGAAAGGAUGCAGUGGGUGGAAAUUACUAGAAGAUGCAAAAACCGUUGUUUGCCCAUUGCACUGAGGUUUUGGCUGGCAGAAUGCACAUCUAAAAUGAUUCCCUUUUCUAUCAAGUGCUUAUUCUAUGCCUGACAUUUUGCUGUGUGCCAUAUGUUUCUCCCUUUUGGUCUGUCACAUAUCCUGUGUGAAAAUAAACAGCAAUCCCAGGCGAGGGUUAGGGUUAGACUGCUGGCCCUUAGCACUGGUGCAAUCCUGUUGCUGUCUCCUAACUCUUUGAAAGAGCAGAAGGCUGGUCAUCUGAAAGUGUCAGAAAAAGAUUUAGGAUCAAAAUUUCUCCUUGACCUUGAUGUAGCUUGAUUACAUGGUACAUGCUUUUGUUGGCUGUGUUCCAUAAUAUGCUUUGGCCUCUGAGCCUCUGAGUUGAGGAGUGAACUAGAACUGUCCUUUAAAAGAUAGGCACAGUUCCUAAAAAACACAUAUUAAUUCAGAACAAGACACAGUCCUAUUAUCUAAUUGAGCUUUUAAGGUAAAGAGUAGACAAAAGAAAGCCCACAUCAGUGGAUGAAUAACAAAACCACUUUGUAAAAGCCAUUUAGGGUCAGGAUACAUCCAGUUUAGUGGCCCUGUUGUAGAUGUUCCCUGUGUUGUUGGGAAGGAGGGCUGGAAAUUGAUGCAAAGAAAUAGCCCUUAGAACUUGGAAGGUAAAGUUUAGGGUGAGUCUCUGGGAGCCCUCUGACACCGCAUGCAGUCCUUUUUCUUUUGUUAUAGUCUUCAAACAAGUCAAUAUUCCAAUGAAGGUUUAGAGCCAGUGUGUUAGAGUGACCAGGCCUUCAGACAGCCUAUCCCCUCCUGUGGGGGCUGCGAUAUAUUUAUUCCUCAGGAGAAGCUGGUAGACUUCAUGAAGGAGAAGAAAAGGAAAAAAUUCAAAGGAUGACUACAGCCUCUCUUCAUCUCAGCUUUGCAAAGCAUGACUCAACAGAGAGAUCACAUUCUUGAAGACUCUCCAGACCACAGCCACCACAGACACUAACCACGGCCAGCAACUGGACCUCAGCCCCGGGAUUUACUCUUGAUGUCUCAACUGAUUAUGAAAUCAGUAGGAGAGCUUGUAUCCCUUUCUAACUUGCUCAUCAGAGAUUUUAAGAUUUGCAUACAUGUGGUAGAUUGAAGAUAAGUUGUUGUGCUGCACUAUUUCUGUUGCUACUCGUGCGGGUCACUACCAGCCUCUCUUCUCAGGAUUAAUGGGCCAGAAACCGUGGGCAGAAUGACUUCAGGCAACCCCAAACACCAGAUAUUGGCAUAAGAAAACAGUACAAUGAAAAGUCAAUACUUGGACCUUUGUCAUUCCACAAAGCAUGAUAUACUAUCUAAAACAAAAAAGAAGAGCUGCUUUGGAGAAGGGUUUUAAAAGAUUGUUUCAUCAGAAGAAAGAUUUAGAAGAGGGGAAACUUCCAGUUAUAUAAGAUGGGCAUUUUAGCUUUUAAAGACAUCUGUUCCCUGUGUAGGUCAUUGAGAUUGAUACCAGGAGCAGACUGUGGCUGCCAAAGCCAGUUUAACUAAGUGGUUUCAUGCUCCUAGAGAGAUGGUGUCACUCUCUUGUCUCUCACUUUGGCGGAUAUUCAUCUGCAAUGAGUCCAGUACCUGAAGGAGCAAGAGAACAACAAGUAUACAGGGGGACAACAGUAUGGCCUUCUGAGUGAAGAUAGCAGCGGAAAAUGUCAUGAGAUUGACUGCAUUGGGCUGGGCUUGUUCUUUUUAAAAAAAAAAAAAUUAGUCUUAUUUUUGAUGAUAAAAGUAACAGGUGGUCAUAGUUAAAAAAAUAAAGUGAAAGGUAUAAAUAAAAAAGUAAAGAAUAUAAUUUUACAACUCAAAAUCUUAACGCUUGCAUGUUUCCUUUUACAACUUUAAAAAAGUGUAACAGUUUAAAAUUGACAUUGUACUUGUUAAUCUCCAACUUGCUCAUUUGAAAAUAAAUAAGCAUUUUUCCAUGUCA